UGGGGAAUAUUGGACAAUGGGGGAAACCCUGAUCCAGCAAUGCCGCGUGAGUGAAGAAGGCCUUAGGGUUGUAAAGCUCUUUCGCCCGCGAAGAUAAUGACGGUAGCGGGAGAAGAAGCCCCGGCUAACUCCGUGCCAGCAGCCGCGGUAAUACGGAGGGGGCUAGCGUUGUUCGGAAUUACUGGGCGUAAAGCGUACGUAGGCGGAUGCGCAAGUUGGGGGUGAAAUCCCGGGGCUUAACCUCGGAAUUGCCCUCAAAACUGCACGUCUUGAGACCGAGAGAUGUAAGGGGAAUUCCUAGUGUAGAGGUGAAAUUCGUAGAUAUUAGGAAGAACACCAGUGGCGAAGGCGCCUUACUGACUCGGUACUGACGCUGAGGUACGAAAGCGUGGGGA
rnacentral:rRNA from 1 species